AAAGAAAAUAUAAAUAUGUAGUGAUAACAUAUACAGUAUAAUAUAUUGUGAAGGAAAGAGAGCAUAGUAAUAAUCCAUAAAGAAAAUAAAAGGACGAAAAAAAAUAUUUUUCAUGAAAAGAGCAAAAAUUGUAAUAAGAUGAACACUCUAUUUAAAAAAAAAAUAUUAGGUUUGUUAGAGGUGUUUGCUUGCACAAUAAAUCCUUCUUAUCAAAUUUGAUUUUGCAUUAGUGUUAGAAAAACAUUUGAUCGAUAAAAAUCAAUUUUAUGAAUAUAAAUUAAUUUUAAAUUAUCAACUUUUAUAACAUGAUUAGAACAUAUCUAUAAUAUAAAAUAAAAAAUAGAGUGUUUGAUAAAUGUUCCAUUGAUUGGAAUGGUACCAAGAAGGGAGACAAGUACAUAUGUAUUGGUACAUGACACCACCAUGAUUAAUUAUAAAUGACUUUUCCAAACCAAACCAAGGUGUGACUCAGCCAAAGAAAAAAAGUAUCUAGUAGCUAACAAAGUACCAAGCAACAUAGUAACAUAUAGCGUGGUGCCUUAGGCAAAUAUAAAAUCAACAUGCUUUGUCAUUUGAAAAGUAAUAUUAAUGUCUUAGUGGUUGUGACUUGUGAGACCAAUCUGAGAGACGAAAAGACACAUUUUGCACAUGAGGAUCAAACUGUGUCUUAGGAUCUGCAUUGACCAGAUACUGGAACAUCAGAUAACACCUCUCAUCUGCAUAUGAUCCAAUUAUCCAUAUACAUGCAAUUGAUUACAAAUGAGAAUAAAAGUUGCAAACAGAGAAGAACACUUGAAAGACUUGUUUUAUCACCAUCUAGUAAAGUCGACCAGGCGAGCAAACCCACAACUUAUUGGGCCAUAAACGACCUAACCCUCGCCCAAGAGAGGAAAAUUCUAAUUCACACCAAGGUACAUGCACUAUAUACAUGAGACCCAUACACCUACAUAAACUAACUUAAGCAUCAGUGUCUCUUUUGCAGGUACCACCCCCAUCUCAGAACAACCGACGUGCCAGGCAAAAGAAGCUGACCAAUCUCAUCUGAAGUCGUCCCUAGAUCAAUUUCAGGGAAGAAUAAAAUCAAAAGAGUUGGGACUAGCAAAAGAUCUUAACGCCCUGACUAGGGAGUAAGCGACACAAUUGGUCAGUCUCCAAAUAAACCUAACCUUGAGGUUGUCGUGUGAGACCGAUUCAUUUGGGAGAGUUAGCAACCAUUGAAGCACUUCCAGGAGGGCAACAGCUUCUACUUAGUGUGGUGGGGGUAGUCCUAAUUGGCAACCUGUCUUUGUUGCCAUAAAAGACCCAUUGGAGUCUCGUAUACACAAUCCAAAACCAAAGGUGCCUGAAUUCGUGAAAAUUGCAGCAUCCAGAUUACACGUAUAGGAUCCUGUUGGAGGUUUCACCCAAUUGAACGAGAUAGGAGGCGUUGAAAUGGAAUUGCAUUUCUUUCGUGCGUUAACUCAUCAUGGCAAACUUUAUCAUUCUUGCGUUUCCAUAUGCACCAUAACAUGAGGACAAAAGAGAUGAUGUCAUGUUCUAGUAAGUAGCCCAAGAGUUCAAAAGUGAUUAACAUAAAACCCUCUCCUCAUUCCACUGUUUGGCGAAUUUUUUGCCACAAACCUGAAUAUAUCCAAACGUCCAUUGCAGCUUGGCAUCCAUAGAAGAUAUGCCAUAUUAGAAUUUUUUAUUUGUAUAUAAACCUUAAACUUUUUCAUGUUUAGAUAAACCCUAAAAAUAAACAUGAAAAAGUAUUUAAAAUUAUAUUUUGUUGAUAAUGAAAAGAAAAAAUAAAUAAAUAUAUAUAGAGAGAGAAGAUAUGCAAUCAU